rnacentral:rRNA from 1 species
GUACCGCGGCUGCUGGCACGUAGUUAGCCGGUGCUUCUUAUCUAGGUACCGUCACAAAAGCUUCGUCCCUAGCGAAAGAGGUUUACAACCCGAAGGCCGUCAUCCCCCACGCGGCGUCGCUGCAUCAGGCUUCCGCCCAUUGUGCAAUAUUCCCCACUGCUGCCUCCCGUAGGAGUCUGGGCCGUAUCUCAGUCCCAAUGUGGCCGUCCACCCUCUCAGGCCGGCUACCCGUCGACGCCUUGGUAGGCCAUUACCCCACCAACAAGCUGAUAGGCCGCGGGCUCAUCCCACACCGAAAAAACUUUCCACCCCCCACACUAAAGAGGGGUCCUAUCCGGUAUUAGACCCAGUUUCCCAGGCUUAUCCCGAAGUGCAGGGCAGAUCACCCACGUGUUACUCACCCGUUCGCCACUCGAGUACCCCGCAAGCGGGGCCUUUCCGUUCGACUUGCAUGUGUUAAGCACGCCGCCAGCGUUCGUCCUGAGCCAUGAUCAAACUC